UGUAUGUGUGUGUGUGUGUGUUUGUAUGUGUGUGUGUGUGUGUGUGUGUGUGUUCGCCUGCGCGCGCGUCAUUUGCUGUCUCCACCUGUUUGACGCGUCUCGCUCUCGGCUCAUUAUCAUUAAUGGCAGAUUGUUUUUUGUUCUUCCCCAGCGGGCUUGUCCAAACAGGCGCCAGGGUCGUCUGAAGCGGUUUCAACGGCUUGUGGCGAACGCUCUCACCGGUCGUGAUGUAAACAUGAUUUCAGGUCGGUGCGCCGGUCAGUGUGGAAGCCUCCGUGAGAGACGGGAAAUCCUCCUCCUGUUGCUCAGCCCUUCCACACAGAGAUCAAAGGUGAAAGAACGGGACAAACGACCUCAGAGCCGCUCGGGGAUGGACCGGACCGUCCUCCGCGGACCCUUGACCCUGUGUCCCUGCAGUCAAAUCACUGUCUCCCGACCUGCAGCCCCCGUGUGAGCUGCACACUCGACAUCCCCUGCACAAGAGGAACCGCGGACAUCACUGUCUCGAAGGAGUGUCGAAUGUGGAUGAGCGACGGUUCCACAGAAGCCUCGGAAAGCCUCUUCCCCUGAAUUAUGAUUUACACAAUACUUUUGCCAUUGGUCAACAUUUGAUUUCACAACUGAAAAGCGUGUGCUGUUGAUGCUGCCGCCCGCCGAAGCCUCCGACUCCUCAACCAGUUUGUCGAGUUACACUUGAUCCGAUAACAGUGAGGCCAAAUUUGAUUCUGUUUGAUUUGAUUCUUAAUGCACUCGUAAACAGUUAUGUUGGGAAUUUCAACCAUUCCGCUCCAGUUCAGUAAAAUAAAUAUUUUUUUUAUUCACUCUUACAAUACAGCCUAUUUACGAACAGAGCUUUUCACUCCCACGGCACUUAAACAGAAACAAGAGGGGUCAACCAAGACACACAUGCGCUUCUUCGAAAAACACCCCAAAAAAAGGGAAAAAUGACAAUUCCAAGGGAGCGUACAAAAGUAUGACUCCUACACAUAAAUAAAUAUCAUGGUUGUGUUUCCACCUCAUACUUUCACACUUUU